UCAUAGUUAUUUUAUUUAAUAAGAGUUUUCAUCUUUUAUUAUCUUAUAAAGAAGUUAAUUAUAAAGAUAUUUUCUUUAUGCUAUAAUUGUAAAUAGUUGUAAAUUAUGUUUUUAAUAAGAAAAGUCUUUGUUUCUGAUCGGAAAAUUGGUAUACUUAUUUUAUCUGUUUUUAUAGUUAUUUAUAACAUCCGCCUGUUUUGUCGCACUGACAAGAAAUAAUAAUUCACCUUAAAGUUACUAUUGCAUUGAAGUUAUAAUGUUUCCAAUGGCCUUGGCUCCAGACAUCACAAGUCGUCAAGGUAUAGACCCCGUUGGUAUAAGACCAAUUGCAAGCAAACACACAGAAACUAAAAAUCUGACAACUAACUGGCGGAGACCCUAAAAAUCUGACAACUGGCGGAGACCCUUUAGAUCAAGAAUACGGUACCUGAUUAAUGACAGAGGACAAAUUGAUCCCUUAAAGUUACAACAAUUGAUGGUAUUGGUUGGAUAAUUAAAAGAAAAACAAGAAAUAUGAUCUACACAGCAACUCACCAGACAACAAAUUCGUUCAGAGAAGCAGAAUCAAGAAUGGAGUUCCUAGUCAAAGUCAAACGAAGAAUGGUUAAUCAUUGCGGGAAAACCAAAGACGUGGUGUAUGAAUAAAACCUCAACAACACACAGUCAGAAGUUCCUGAGAAGCUGUACAUAGGAAAGAAAGUUUCAAUUCAAGAUAAGUUGAACAAUGGUUGACAAAUACAUAACUAUAAUACAGAUACACGCAAUUCCCCCCGAAAACAGCAAAGCAAAGCAAGAAACAGAUUUAUAGUGCGGUGAUAGCAUGCAGAAUUCGUUACCCAUAUUUUUCAAGUUAAAGAUUCAUACUCAUUUACAUUGACAUUUAUACUCAAAUUCAGUAAAUUCAAUAUUAUUGUCGUUUGUUUAGAAAUAUUUGCCACUGGACGUUACGCAACCAACAAUCAAUCAAUCAUUUGAUGAGAAACAUGUAUAAGUUGUUUUAAAUAUAUGUAUGCAUAUUCUGCUAAGAAAAGUAUUCAUAAUCAUGAUAAUUGUUCUUUAGAGAAAAUUACUAAUUUUUACAAAUUAAUACUCAUUUUAUAUGUUAACGCUCAUGUAUUUAAGUUUUACACAUGUAUGUAAGUACUUAUAUUUUUGGUUCGUAUUCAUAAGUGUAUGAAUGGUUCUCACAAGUUAGUAUUAAUCAACGAAAAUUUGACAAGCUCAGUAUGUGUUGUAAAAGUUUAUCAGUAGAAAAAUAAUUUUUGCUGCUAUGACACAUUGACGUCAAAUUCUUGCUGUUAAAUACAGAGAUUGUAGAAUCAGGUGUACUCAAUAAGUGCUCAGUAUUGAAUAAGUACUGAUAUUUUUUAAGGUCUGUACUUAUUGCAAUUCAUUUAAAAAAUGGAGAAAUCAGUAACUCAGUGAUUCAUAUAGAAUUGAUCGGUAAAAAGUUUACUGCUAUAUGGUUCAGAUGUUGAUGUUAUGUUCUUGCAUUUUGCUCGCAAAAUUAUCUGCUCAGACCGCACUUAUAACACAAGUACUCAUAUGCUUAUGGUAGUACUCAAAUUUUUCAGACUAUAGUACAAGUCUAUCAUACACACCAAAUAUCUUGAAACACAACUGACAAAAAUCAAUGUUAUGAAAACGUCAGGAAAUAUUACUAAAGCUAAUCACUAUUUCAUUACACAGUUUUGGAUUUUCUUUUUUUUUCACAAGGUGUUUUCAAGUCAUUUUAUUAACAGUAAUAUUGGCCACCUGUUAAUAUUCAGUGCUAGAAAUGUAUGAUUGCAACAUUCAUUUCAAACGACUUGCAUUUCAACUUUGUGUUUAAAAUUUUUUUUUUUUAUUAUUUUUACAUUUUCGUAUACAAAUUUGUGGUUAGUCAGUAUAUUUCAGCGUCCAUAAUUUGAUAUUUAUAUCGUGUUUUCACAGUUGGUUCAGUGUUGAUAUGUGUACAUCGUUUAGUCAAAAUGAGCUUCCAAAUCAUGAUCAAGAGUAAAACAUUUUCAUGUUCAUUUUCCGUAUUGAAACACAAAAUUAUUGGAAAAAAAAAAGUUGUUCACAAUACAUACUUUUCUGAUAUAUAUAUCUUAGGUACACAAAAUGUUAUUCAUAACUUAACAUUAUCAUCAAAGAAUUCAUGCUUUACUAUAUUUUUUCCACAUAAUAGUUUGCAGACAUCUAUAGUUAAAAACUUUUUGUAAUCUUUAUACUAGAAUGUUUUUUUUUACUGCAGUAAAGCAAUGAGGACAAAACAAUAUUUAGUGUUCAGGGCUACUGACUGGCUGUUAGUUAUGUUGAUGUGUUUGUAGAUACUUGUAUAUAUGUGUAUGCAUUUGUAGUUAAAUUAUAUUACUAAGCUUACAACUCCUGCCAAUUAUUAUUAUAAACAAGAUCUAGAAGGUUCAAGAUUUCGGGACGAAAUCAGUUGAAGUAGAGGGGAGUUGUCAUGGUAUCAUUUUGAUCAGAUUUUAUUAUUUUUGUGAAAUUCUUAAUUUCAGUAAAAAUUAGAAAAGUUCUAAGUUUAAAGCAAAUUAUUUUUAGUUCAAUAUUUUAUUGCAAUUUUGGACAGACAUUUUAAUAGCUUUAGUUUGGUUUUCACACAAACAUAUUUCCUUUUAGUAAGCCUUAUUUGUUGUAUAUAUCUUACGUAAGAAGUUAUCGGACAAUGGUCAGAAUGUGUUGACAGAUAUGAUUUUUAAAGUGAAGCCGACAUGUAAUAAGAUGUAUUUCGGAUUAUUUCUAUUGUUAAUGUCCGGCUCAAAUACGGUAUAGAGUAAACAUUGAUAGCAAGAUUACAUAAGUAAUUAAGAUAUUUUUUAGUCAUACACGUCACCUAUGACCCCACCUAUUUUCUGUCAAUUAGACUAAAGUUGUCAUGGUUUUUGAUUAAAUGUUAAUUUUGAUUGGACAACCUGAAACAUUCCCCAAAUUCGAAUCAAAAAAGUUAAUUCCAGAAAGCGUCACUUUUACAUGCGCUCUUUGGAAAUAAAGACAUAAAACUAU